rnacentral:rRNA from 1 species
CUACGGGAGGCUGCAGUGGGGAAUUUUGGACAAUGGGCGAAAGCCUGAUCCAGCCAUUCCGCGUGAGUGAUGAAGGCCUUCGGGUUGUAAAGCUCUUUCGGCCGGGAAGAAAUCGUGCAGGCUAAUAUCCUGCAUGGAUGACGGUACCGGAUCAAGAAGCACCGGCUAACUACGUGCCAGCAGCCGCGGUAAUACGUAGAGUGCGAGCGUUAAUCGGAAUUACUGGGCGUAAAGCGUGCGCAGGCGGAUGUUUAAGCCAGAUGUGAAAUCCCCGGGCUUAAACUGGGAAUGGCAUUUGGAACGGGACAUCUAGAGUGUGUCAGAGGGGGGUGGAAUUCCACGUGUAGCAGUGAAAUGCGUAGAGAUGUGGAGGAACACCGAUGGCGAAGGCAGCCCCCUGGGAUAACACUGACGCUCAUGCACGAAAGCGUGGGGAGCAAACAGGAUUAGAUACCCGCGUAGUC